AAAUCCAAACGCGAAUGACUAUUCCCUCACUAAAAGCGCUUAUCUGAAAAGCUCAUCCACAGCGCGAUUUGGUUAUUCGCUUCAGCAUCACUUCUGCACUAUAGAUUAGCAUCGCGUGUUUGUCAUUGUUUCGUCUCCGACUCCUGCUUCUCCCCGUGUUUUAUGCUCAAGAACAACUCGAAGCGAACAACGGUUCCAAUCAUCAAUCCACGUUCCGAAAUCCGAAUCAAUGACUCAGUUCGAUUCACCAUUGUACGCGUGCACCAACAGAAAAAACAGAAUCGGAACCAAAGCGAUAAAUUCACCGGUAUUUGAAGCCUCAAUCGCAAACAGGUACUGAUCUCUGAUUCUGAUAUAUUUCUUCUUCUUCCUCGCUCACUCUACUUCUUCUUCUACAUAUGCGUGGUGUGGAGUGAUUCGUUCUGAGAUGAUGAAUAGUGAAUCGUGAAAUGGUGGAGUGGAUCUGAGAAUUUUGAAGAGUGAAUGUGAGCUUUCUGAAAACACAUUCAGGUGAUAUUUAAACCAUUUCUGAUUUAACAGAGUCGAACUCUGUUAAAUCUCAGAAGUUUCAAUUAGUUAACCGUUAACACUCUGUUAGAUCCAUGGUUAAAUAGUUAGUUAGAACUUGCAAAUUCAGUUGAGACCUUUUAUGUGUGUUGUGUUAGGUUAGUUACAGUGGAACUCUAAUUUGGUGUUCUGCUAGACGAAUUGGAAGGGUGAUAUUGCUUCUGUUUUUCUGUCAAAUUUUGUUAGCAAUUAGUUGGAUUUUGCAGGUAUAUGGUAGUGCAACAUACAAGGGUGCAAGAUUGAGUUGGAUCACCACCAUAAGCAAAAUUGUAGUUCUUGUGAUAUCUAAAGGUUGAUGUUCAGCAAUAGUAGGAUGUAUCAAUAUAUUAUGCAGUGUUAUGCAG
rnacentral:lncRNA from 1 species